UUUUUUUGCAGUAUUUUUUGUGCGUGUGUUUUUAUUUCAAUUUUCUGGGUUAUUUCUGUGUGGGUUUUUUUUUUUGUUUUUAUUUCAAUUUUCUGGGUUAUUUCUGUGUGGGUUUUUUUUUUUGUGUGUGUGGUUUGUUUUGCUUUGCUUUUUUCUUUCUUUUUUUUUUUUUUGAAAUCUAUUUUAUUUUACAGUGAAGUGUUUGAUUUUUUUUUUUACAGUGAAGUGAAAAGCAGAGUCCCUCCUAUCAAGUGUGCCUAACCUAGUAUUGUUCACAUCUGGGAGUGAUAGAUGUGCUGUUUAUAACAAGAUCAAAACUAUCAAGAAGUAAAGCAGGAUGUUGUUAAAAUAAACCACCACAACACACUGAAAACCUCUGAAACUGUAAAAUGCUGGAAAAGGAGCUGGCUGCUGCUGAAUGUCUAGAGGCUAGCGAGGUAGAAAUAGGAAUAUAUUUAGUUCUCAGUGGAAGCGGAGUCCCUGGGCUGAACGGUGUUUGUACAUCUUGUGCUUCUCACAUUUCAUCAUUUCUGGCUGACAUCAGGAGGUUUGACCAAAGCAUGUCUGACAUAUUGGUGAGGAGAUUUUGUCACAUUGGCAAAGAGGAAUUCUGAGUGUGGAGAGCAAAGAGCAACAAAAGAGAGAAACAUGGAACAUAAAUUUUUGUUAGUGUGAUGGCAAGAGAAGGUUGAUUUGGAGUAUUUUAUUGCUUAUUAGCCAUGGGCAAAGAAGCAGCAUGUUUUAGAUGCUCCGAGAAUGUGGGGCAUACUGCUCUAACCAGACAUAUUUAAUUUUCUGCAAAAGAAAUUAAGGAAGAGAGUUCUCUGGAAGGGACAAAGACAAUAGAGAGCAGAUCACAAGAAGUGUUUCUGUGGUGUGGAUUUUGAAAAUGAGCAUGUGCAAUUUGCCUCUAAACUGUUACACGUUCGUCCUCUCUUGGUUGUACAGAUGUGUUAAGCAUUUAAAACUGGAAGAUCAGUCCAUUUUUACUUUUCCUCAUUGACAAAACUGACCCAUUUCAUGAUGGGUUUUACAAGGUAGGAAUGUCCCAGAGCCCUUCACAGCCAGACACUGCAGUACAGGGUGCUUUGACACACGUCAUAAUUUCAGAUAGGAGUCUUGAAAUGCGGGAAAAUUGCCAUUUGUAAAAGAGUUUGCUUCUUGUAGAGAUGUAUUAACAGAAACUGGAAAGAUAGGUUUCAUUAAAAAAAUACAAGACUUGUCAUAUUGUGAGACAUUUUUGUUGUUGAAGGUGGUAAUUUAGCAAAACAGAAACCUUUCAUGAGAAAGUGCUUGUUUCAGUCAACUUGUCAGGAAAUGCUUUGGAAAACAGUGAUUUUUAUAAUAUCAGGUGCUUGCCUUGUGCAGUGAAGAUUUUGAUUCUGUUAUCUGAAACAGAAUGUAAGUGCGUGAUACUUGGAAAUUUAAUGAGAGGUGAAACUGUAAUCUUCACAAAACCCCUUAACAUUAAACAGGAUUAUUUUGAUGUCAGGAGAACAUUCUGUGUAAUUCAAACUGAAAAUACACUUAUUUUAUCAGUGCUGAAAACUUUCUCUGAACUAUUGGUCAUGAGAGGAAAAAGCAAUCUCCUGCUCAGUGCCAGCAUAACAUCUACUUCAGAAUUUGUGGUGGUGGAGCAACUUGUCUGAUACAGAGAAUGAAGAAUUUCAGUGUUCCUGAGCGAGAGAUCUCUCUGCUGCCUAAUGGCCCAGAGAAUUUUGGUAAUGAUUUCAGAAGAAUAAACUAAUUUUUCUCUAUUUUAUGGCA
rnacentral:lncRNA from 1 species